rnacentral:rRNA from 1 species
CUACGGGUGCAGCAGUGGGGAAUAUUGCACAAUGGGCGCAAGCCUGAUGCAGCCAUGCCGCGUGUAUGAAGAAGGCCUUCGGGUUGUAAAGUACUUUCAGCGGGGAGGAAGGGAGUAAAGUUAAUACCUUUGCUCAUUGACGUUACCCGCAGAAGAAGCACCGGCUAACUCCGUGCCAGCAGCCGCGGUAAUACGGAGGGUGCAAGAGUUAAUCGGAAGUACUGGGCGUAAAGCGCACGCAGGCGGUUUGUUAAGUCAGAUGUGAAAUCCCCGGGCUCAACCUGGGAACUGCAUCUGAUACUGGCAAGCUUGAGUCUCGUAGAGGGGGGUAGAAUUCCAGGUGUAGCGGUGAAAUGCGUAGAGAUCUGGAGGAAUACCGGUGGCGAAGGCGGCCCCCUGGACGAAGACUGACGCUCAGGUGCGAAAGCGUGGGGAGCAAACAGGAUUAGAUACCCCAGUAGUC